rnacentral:rRNA from 1 species
AGUGAACGCUGGCGGUAGGCCUAACACAUGCAAGUCGAACGGCAGCACAGUAAGAGCUUGCUCUUACGGGUGGCGAGUGGCGGACGGGUGAGGAAUACAUCGGAAUCUACUUUUUCGUGGGGGAUAACGUAGGGAAACUUACGCUAAUACCGCAUACGACCUACGGGUGAAAGCAGGGGAUCUUCGGACCUUGCGCGAUUGAAUGAGCCGAUGUCGGAUUAGCUAGUUGGCGGGGUAAAGGCCCACCAAGGCGACGAUCCAUAGCUGGUCUGAGAGGAUGAUCAGCCACACUGGGACUGAGACACGGCCCAGACUCCUACGGGAGGCAGCAGUGGGGAAUAUUGGACAAUGGGCGAAAGCCUGAUCCAGCAAUGCCGCGUGAGUGAUGAAGGCCUUAGGGUUGUAAAGCUCUUUUACCCGGGAUGAUAAUGACAGUACCGGGAGAAUAAGCUCCGGCUAACUCCGUG